UAAAGUGACCAAAAAAAAGCAAUAAAGGCUUGUCAAGGCAAGGGCCGAGGCUUUUUCUCCUCUUGAGAAAGAAGCCAUGCCAUCCCUUUUCCUCCACAGGACUCGUUAGUAUGUGUGAAUUUCUCGUAUCUCAUCCACAAUAUGGCACACUCUG